GAUGAACGCUGGCGGCGUGCUUAACACAUGCAAGUCGAACGGAAAGGCCCAAGCUUGCUUGGGUACUCGAGUGGCGAACGGGUGAGUAACACGUGGGUGAUCUGCCCUGCACUUCGGGAUAAGCCUGGGAAACUGGGUCUAAUACCGGAUAGGACGAUGGUUUGGAUGCCAUUGUGGAAAGUUUUUUCGGUGUGGGAUGAGCUCGCGGCCUAUCAGCUUGUUGGUGGGGUAAUGGCCUACCAAGGCGUCGACGGGUAGCCGGCCUGAGAGGGUGUACGGCCACAUUGGGACUGAGAUACGGCCCAGACUCCUACGGGAGGCAGCAGUGGGGAAGAUUGCACAAUGGGCGCAAGCCUGAUGCAGCGACGCCGCGUGGGGGAUGACGGCCUUCGGGUUGUAAACUCCUUUCGCUAGGGACGAAGCGUUUUUGUGACGGUACCUGGAGAAGAAGCACCGGCUAACUACGUG
rnacentral:rRNA from 1 species